GGUGAAGAACGUAGCGAAAUGCGAUAAGUAAUGUGAAUUGCAGAAUUCAGUGAAUCAUCGAAUCUUUGAACGCACAUUGCGCCCGCCAGUAUUCUGGCGGGCAUGCCUGUUCGAGCGUCAUUUCAACCCUCAAGCCCCCGGGCUUGGUGUUGGGGAUCGGCGUGCCCUCGCGGCGCGCCGUCCCCUAAAUCUAGUGGCGGUCUCGCUGUAGCUUCCUCUGCGUAGUAGCAACACUCGCACUGGAUCGCAGCGCGGCCACGCCGUUAAACCCCCCACUUCUGAAAGUUUGACCUCGGAUCAGGUAGGAAUACCCGCUGAACUUAAGCAUAUCAAUAAGCGGAGGA
rnacentral:misc_RNA from 1 species